CAGCCACACUGGAACUGAGACACGGUCCAGACUCCUACGGGAGGCAGCAGUGGGGAAUUUUCCGCAAUGGGCGAAAGCCUGACGGAGCAAUACCGCGUGAGGGAGGAAGGCUCUUGGGUUGUAAACCUCUUUUCUCAGGGAAUAAGCAAGUGAAGGUACCUGAGGAAUCAGCAUCGGCUAACUCCGUGCCAGCAGCCGCGGUAAUACGGAGGAUGCAAGCGUUAUCCGGAAUGAUUGGGCGUAAAGCGUCCGUAGGUAGCAGUGUGUGUCUAUUGUUAAAGAGUUUGGCUUAACCAAAUAAAGGCGGUAGAAACUACACAGCUAGAGUGCGUUCGGGGCAGAGGGAAUUCCUGGUGUAGCGGUGAAAUGCGUAGAGAUCAGGAAGAACACCGGUGGCGAAAGCGCUCUGCUAGGCCGCAACUGACACUGAGGGACGAAAGCUAGGGGAGCGAAUGGGAUUAGAUACCCCAGUAGUCCUAGCCGUAAACGAUGGAUACUAGGCGUUGAGAGUAUCGACCCUCUCAGUGCCGUAGCUAACGCGUUAAGUAUCCCGCCUGGGGAGUACGCACGCAAGUGUGAAACUCAAAGGAAUUGACGGGGGCCCGCACAAGCGGUGGAGUAUGUGGUUUAAUUCGAUGCAAC
rnacentral:rRNA from 1 species